rnacentral:rRNA from 1 species
UACGGAGGGGGCGAGCGUUGUCCGAAGUUACUGGGCGUAAAGGGCGCGUAGGCGGGUUGGUAAGUCUGCCGUGAAAGCCCGGGGCUUAACCCCGGAGGGUCGGUGGAUACUGCCAGUCUUGAAGUGGCUAGGGGAAGAUGGAAUUACCGGUGUAGCGGUGAAAUGCGUAGAUAUCGGUAGGAACACCAGUGGCGAAGGCGGUCUUCUGGGGCUCACUUGACGCUGAGGCGCGAAAGCUGGGGGAGCGAACGG